UGGAACAUGCUCAAUUUGGGACGACAAACAGUACGAUUGAUAAAUUUCAUGCGAAGUGCCGAGACAGAUUUGUAGCACUUGGUUUUUUUUUCUUUCUUAAAGAACAACUAGAUCUCAAUCCGUGCAACUGCGUGAGUUUUUUUUUUCAUUUAUUUUAUAUAAACAUUUUAUUUUUCAGUUCUAAAUUGAUAUAUAUUAUAAUAUAUAUGUCCUUAUAAAUUUUUAAAACACAAUACACUUACGGUAUAUUUUUUUCAUUGAAUAGAUUGUUUCAAAUUUUCACAUGUAUUUGUAUCUUCUUCUAUAUAUAUUUUUGGAUUAUUAUUUCAUUAUUAAAAUCGUAACUAUAUAUAUACAGAUUAGUAAA
rnacentral:lncRNA from 1 species